CCAGAACCUGCUGGAUUUCACCCCUGGUGUGAUGGAAUAAUCAGACUGUAAUUCAAAUCUUUAUUGUAUCCACUCCGGCAGGCCUUGUGAAAGAAACAACCAAUGGCUCCACUGCUUUGCAACCCUGGCUGGUGGGAUUAACCGCUGUUACGGUCUUCUUGUUUGUGAUGUUCGUGGCAAACCUCAUCAAUCGGAUAUUUUUCUUCCAAAAAAAGGAUGACAAGGACGAGUUGGAGAACAUAGAGAUCAAGGGCAGCGCUGAGGAAAAUGUCUACGAAAACGAAGCAAUGGACUCAGAUGAGGAGAGUUUGCAAACCAAGAUAUAGAGAAUCAUAACAGCAUGUAAAAGGUCUUUAAGGGAAAGGAGGACCAGCUGCCAUUACAAAAUGACUGAAUUCGGAAUUAUCUGAAAGGCCUGGACAAGAAUUUCCAGAUUCAGGUGUUGUUGUUUUUUAAUCACCAGCACAUCACUGACCCCUCGAAAUUAGAUGAAACCAAAGCUAGCUCACAAUAGCAACGGACGUUGCCAGGGUGGUGACUACGUGAAUACAGGUAGUCCUCGACUUAUAACAGAUAAUUUAGUUACUCUUCAAAGUUAUAACAACACUGCAAAAAGUGACUUAUGUUAUGUCCAUUUUUCACACUUACGACCUUUGCAGCAUCCCCAUGGUCACGUGAUCAUGGGGAUCAUGAUCAUGGGGAUCAAGGGCCUGGUGGCUCAGCAGACUGAUAGCACUGUGAUUAACACCAGCUGUCUGCAAUUACUGUAGUUCGAAUCUCACCAGGCUCAAGGUUGACUCAGCCUUCCAUCCUUUCUAAGGUAGGUAAAUUGAGGACCCAGUUUGUGGGGGCAAUAA